GGAGUCUGGUCCGUGUCUCAGUACCAGUGUGGGGGACCUUCCUCUCAGAACCCCUACGCAUCGUCGCCUUGGUAGGCCGUUACCCCACCAACUAGCUAAUCCCACCUGGGCGCAUCUGAAUGUGACCGUAUCCGGUCUUUCCCCCUCAGGGUAUACGCGGUAUUAGCACCCGUUUCCAGGUGUUAUCCCCCUCAUUCAGGCAGCUUCCCAGGCAUUACUCACCCGUCCGCCACUCGUCAUCAAGAAAGCAAGCUUUCUCAUGCUACCGUUCGACUUGCAUGUAUUAAGCCUGCCGCCAGCGUUCAAU
rnacentral:rRNA from 1 species